rnacentral:lncRNA from 10 species
CAUUCUGUUAUGAUAGUGAGUUAGUUCUCACAAGACCUGAUGGUUUUAUAAGGGGCUUCCCCAUUCUCUGGGCAUUCAUUCUCUCCCUUGCUGCCCGUAAAGAGGUGCCUUCUACCGUGAUUUUAAUGAAAUGGAACAUCAGAGAAAUACAAUGUUCACAGUCACACUCCGGUUGGUGAUGGACAUGAAUAUCUACACCAAGGACUAAAAUGAAGUCACUCCUGGAAGCCAGCUGGGUGAAGGCCCUGGGAACCCAUGAACUGGCCAUGAAACCAGAGGAUGUCACUGACAGGGAGGACCGGCAGGGAGCUAAGUCACUCUUCACCUCUUUGACUGUGAGACUACAUUUGAUCAAAACCAGAAAUUAGGCCUCAGACUUGUUUAACUGUAGCUAGAAGAUCCAAAAUCUAUCAACAGACAGAGAUUGUUAAUCCCUGCAGCUUUUGUAAUUCUGUAUUCUAACUCUAUGGGGUGCAUUUUGUUUUAUAAGCUGGAA